UACUCCGCCGGCGACCGGCGCACGGGUGCGUAACGCGUAUGCAACCUACCUUUAACAGGGGCAUAACACUGAGAAAUUGGUACUAAUUCCCCAUAACAUUCGAGAAGGCAUCUUCUUGGGUUAAAAACUCCGGUGGUUAAAGAUGGGCAUGCGUUGUAUUAGCUAGUUGGUGAGGUAACGGCUCACCAAGGCAACGAUACAUAGGGGGACUGAGAGGUUAACCCCCCACAUUGGAACUGAGACACGGUCCAA
rnacentral:rRNA from 1 species